rnacentral:rRNA from 1 species
AGUGAACGCUGGCGGUAGGCCUAACACAUGCAAGUCGAACGGCAGCACAGUAAGAGCUUGCUCUUACGGGUGGCGAGUGGCGGACAGGUGAGGAAUACAUCGGAAUCUACUUUUUCGUGGGGGAUAACGUAGGGAAACUUACGCUAAUACCGCAUACGACCUACGGGUGAAAGCAGGGGAUCUUCGGACCUUGCGCGAUUGAAUGAGCCGAUGUCGGAUUAGCUAGUUGGCGGGGUAAAGGCCCACCAAGGCGACGAUCCGUAGCUGGUCUGAGAGGAUGAUCAGCCACACUGGAACUGAGACACGGUCCAGACUCCUACGGGAGGCAGCAGUGGGGAAUAUUGGACAAUGGGCGCAAGCCUGAUCCAGCCAUACCGCGUGGGUGAAGAAGGCCUUCGGGCUGUAAAGCCCUUUUGUUGGGAAAGAAAAGCAGCAGGUUAAUACCCCGCUGUUCUGACGGUACCCAAAGAAUAAGCACCGGCUAACUUCGUG